rnacentral:rRNA from 1 species
AUUGAACGCUGGCGGCAUGCUUUACACAUGCAAGUCGAACGGUAACAGGGUGCUUGCACCGCUGACGAGUGGCGAACGGGUGAGUAAUGCGUCGGAACGUGCCGAGUAGUGGGGGAUAACGCAGCGAAAGUUGUGCUAAUACCGCAUACGUACUGAGGUAGAAAGUGGGGGACCCUCGGGCCUCGCGCUAUUCGAGCGGCCGACGUCUGAUUAGCUAGUAGGUGAGGUAAAGGCUCACCUAGGCGACGAUCAGUAGCGGGUCUGAGAGGAUGAUCCGCCACACUGGGACUGAGACACGGCCCAGACUCCUACGGGAGGCAGCAGUGGGGAAUAUUGGACAAUGGGGGCAACCCUGAUCCAGCCAUGCCGCGUGUGUGAAGAAGGCCUUCGGGUUGUAAAGCACUUUAGGUCGGGAGGAAGGUUCGCUGACUAAUAUCCAGCGGAAUUGACGUUACCGACAGAAUAAGCACCGGCUAACUCCGUGCCAGCCGCCGCCGUAAAAC